rnacentral:rRNA from 1 species
UUGGAGGGCAAGUCUGGUGCCAGCAGCCGCGGUAAUUCCAGCUCCAAUAGCGUAUAUUAAAGUUGUUGCAGUUAAAAAGCUCGUAGUUGAAUUUCGGGGUCAGUAGGUUGGUCAUGCCACUGGUAUGUACUGGUCUCACUGAUUCCUCCUUCCUGAUGAGCUGUAAUGCCAUUAAUUUGGUGUUGCGGGGAAUCUGGACUGUUACUUUGAAAAAUUAGAGUGUUUAAAGCAGGCUAACGCCUGAAUACAUUAGCAUGGAAUAAUGAAAUAGGACGUUCGAUCCUAUUUUGUUGGUUUCUAGGAUUGACGUAAUGAUUAAUAGGGAUAGUUGGGGGCAUUAGUAUUCAAUUGUCAGAGGUGAAAUUCUUGGAUUUAUUGAAGACUAACUACUGCGAAAGCAUUUGCCAAGGAUGUUUUCAUUAAUCAAGAACGAAAGUUAGGGGAUCGAAGACGAUCAGAUACCGUCGUAGUCUUAACCAUAAACUAUGCCGACUAGGGAUCGGAUGAUGUUAAUUUUUAAUGACUCA